GACGAACGCUGGCGGCGUGCCUAAUACAUGCAAGUAGGACGCUGAAGAGAGGAGCUUACUCUUCUUGGAUGAGUUGCGAACGGGUGAGUAACGCGUAGGUAACCUGCCUUGUAGCGGGGGAUAACUAUUGGAAACGAUAGCUAAUACCGCAUAACAAUGGAUGACACAUGUCAUUUAUUUGAAAGGGGCAAUUGCUCCACUACAAGAUGGACCUGCGUUGUAUUAGCUAGUAGGUGAGGUAAUGGCUCACCUAGGCGACGAUACAUAGCCGACCUGAGAGGGUGAUCGGCCACACUGGGACUGAGACACGGCCCAGACUCCUACGGGAGGCAGCAGUAGGGAAUCUUCGGCAAUAGGGGCAACCCUGACCGAGCAACGCCGCGUGAGUGAAGAAGGUUUUCGGAUCGUAAAGCUCUGUUGUAAGUCAAGAACGGGUGUGAGAGUGGAAAGUUCACACUGUGACGGUAGCUUACCAGAAAGGGACGGCUAACUACGUG
rnacentral:rRNA from 1 species